UAAGCAGCAUAAAUCUAUUUUGUAUUCGUUUAUUGUAUUUUUAUAUAAAGGUAGAAUUUGAAUAUAAAUGAGAAACCUAGUUGUAACUAAAAAGCUGAAGCUGUGACAAUCUUGAGGGAAACUGGGAUUAGAUACCCCAUUAUUCUCGAUUAUAAAUUAACUUUGUUUACCAGAGUACUAUGAAUAAAUAAAAUUUAAAACUCAAAGAGCUUGGCGGUGUUUUAGACCUUUUAGGGGAACCUGUCUCGUAAUCGAUAGUCCACGUUAAACCUAACCUUUUUUUGUUAAUAUUCAGUUUGUAUACCGUCGUCGUCAGGUAACUUUUAAAAAUUUUAAAGUUAGCAGAUAAAACAUAUUAGUAAGUUUAAACGUCAGAUCAAGGUGCAGCCAAUAAGAAGGUGUAGAUGGGUUACAAUUUAUAAAGUCAUAAUGAUGAAUGGAUUGAUGAAAUUUUGAUCUGAAGGAGGACUUAAAAGUAAAAUAUAUUAUAAAAAUGUUUGGAAUGUGGCUCUGAAACGUGUACCAACCGCCCGUCGCUCUCGUUGAAAAAUGAGAUAAGUCGUAACAUAGCAGGGGUAAUGGAAAUUGUCCCUAAAUGAAU
rnacentral:rRNA from 1 species